rnacentral:rRNA from 1 species
GAUGAACGCUGACAGAAUGCUUAACACAUGCAAGUCUUUGGCGAAUCUGUGCUUGCACAGGCUAGCCAAGGCGGACGGGUGAGUAACGCGUAAAGAACUUGCCCUGCAGACAGGGAUAACAGACGGAAACGACUGAUAACACCUGAUACAGUUGCCGGCACGCAUGUGCCUGGCAAUGAAAAGAGAUGCUGCAGGAGAGCUUUGCGGCCUAUUAGCUUGUUGGUGAGGUGACGGCUCACCAAGGCGAUGAUAGGUAGCCGGCCUGAGCGGGUGAACGGCCACAAGGGGACUGAGAUGCGGCCCUUACUCCUACGGGAGGCAGCAGUGGGGAAUAUUGGACCAUGGGGGCAACCCUGAUCCAGCAAUUCUGUGUGCACGAAGAAGGUUUUCGGAUUGUAAAGUGCUUUCAGCAGGGAAGAAGAAAGUGACGGUACCUGCAGAAGAAGCGACGGCUAACUACGUG